rnacentral:rRNA from 1 species
AUUGAACGCUGGCGGCAGGCUUAACACAUGCAAGUCGAGCGGGGUGAUGGUGCUUGCACUAUCACUUAGCGGCGGACGGGUGAGUAAUGCUUAGGAAUCUGCCUAUUAGUGGGGGACAACAUCUCGAAAGGGAUGCUAAUACCGCAUACGUCCUACGGGAGAAAGCAGGGGAUCACUUGUGACCUUGCGCUAAUAGAUGAGCAUAAGUCGGAUUAGCUAGGUGGUGGGGUAAAGGCCAACCAAGGCGACGAUCUGUAGCGGGUCUGAGAGGAUGAUCCGCCACACUGGGACUGAGACACGGCCCAGACUCCUACGGGAGGCAGCAGUGGGGAAUAUUGGACAAUGGGGGGAACCCUGAUCCAGCCAUGCCGCGUGUGUGAAGAAGGCCUUAUGGUUGUAAAGCACUUUAAGCGAGGAGGAGGCUCUUUUGGUUAAUACCCAAGAUGAGUGGACGUUACUCGCAGAAUAAGCACCGGCUAACUCUGUGCCAGCCGCCGCGGUAA